rnacentral:ncRNA from 2 species
CGUUUCCUUGCUGGAGAGAGACGGCCCGCCCCGCACCGACGGAAUGGCGGAAUCGUCCACCGAAGGAGCAAACCCCGAUCGUGGGGUGAAUCUCUCAGGUAAAGCGGACAGCAGGGGUGGC